rnacentral:rRNA from 1 species
UCGAACGCGAACGAGUUCUUCGGAACUUUAGUAGAGUGGCGCACGGGUGAGUAACGCGUAAGUAAUCUACCCUCGCAUUCGGGAUAACCCACCGAAAGGUGUGCUAAUACCGGAUACGUCUAUUUUAAUUCAUUUUUUAUAGAGAAAGGUGGCCUCUGAUUCAAGCUACUGUGCGGGGAUGAGCUUGCGUACCAUUAGCUGGUUGGUAGGGUAACGGCCUACCAAGGCGAUGAUGGUUAGCGGGUCUGAGAGGAUGAUCCGCCACACUGGAACUGGAACACGGACCAGACUCCUACGGGAGGCAGCAGUGAGGAAUAUUGCGCAAUGGGGGCAACCCUGACGCAGCGACGCCGCGUGGAUGAUGAAGGCCUUCGGGUUGUAAAAUCCUGUCAGAUGGGAAGAAGUGCUAUUUACCUAAUACGUGAGUAGUUUGACGGUACCAUCAAAGGAAGCACCGGCUAACUCCGUGCCAGCAGCCGCGGUAAUACGGAGGGUGCAAGCGUUGUUCGGAAUUACUGGGCGUAAAGCGCGCGUAGGCGGCCAUGCAAGUCAUUUGUGAAAGUCCCUGGCUCAACCAGGGAAGUGCAUGUGAAACUGUAUGGCUUGAGUACUGGAGGGGGUGGUGGAAUUCCCGGUGUAGAGGUGAAAUUCGUAGAUAUCGGGAGGAAUACCGGUGGCGAAGGCGACCACCUGGCCAG